rnacentral:rRNA from 1 species
UACGUAGGGGGCAAGCGUUGUCCGGAUUUAUUGGGCGUAAAGAGCGUGUAGGCGGCCUGACAGGUCUGCUGUGAAAACUCGAGGCUCAACCUCGAGAUGUCGGCGGAAACCGUCUGGCUAGAGUCCGGAAGAGGAGAGUGGAAUUCCUGGUGUAGCGGUGGAAUGCGCAGAUAUCAGGAGGAACACCAAUAGCGAAGGCAGCUCGCUGGGACGGUACUGACGCUAAGGCGCGAAAGCGUGGGGAGCGAACAGG